rnacentral:rRNA from 1 species
AUUGAACGCUGGCGGCAGGCCUAAUACAUGCAAGUCGGACGGUAGCACAGAGGAGCUUGCUCCUCGGGUGACGAGUGGCGGACGGGUGAGUAAUGUCUGGGGAUCUGCCCGAUAGAGGGGGAUAACCACUGGAAACGGUGGCUAAUACCGCAUAACGUCGCAAGACCAAAGAGGGGGACCUUCGGGCCUCUCACUAUCGGAUGAACCCAGAUGGGAUUAGCUAGUAGGCGGGGUAACGGCCACCUAGGCGACGAUCCCUAGCUGGUCUGAGAGGAUGACCAGCCACACUGGAACUGAGACACGGUCCAGACUCCUACGGGAGGCAGCAGUGGGGAAUAUUGCACAAUGGGCGCAAGCCUGAUGCAGCCAUGCCGCGUGUAUGAAGAAGGCCUUCGGGUUGUAAAGUACUUUCAGCGGGGAGGAAGGCGAUGUGGUUAAUAACCGCAUUGAUUGACGUUACCCGCAGAAGAAGCACCGGCUAACUCCGUGCCAGCCGCCGCGGUAA